rnacentral:rRNA from 1 species
CGAGCGCAACCCUACCUUUAGUUGCCAUCAGGUAAUGCUGGGACUCUAAAGGAACUGCCUACGCAAGUAGUGAGGAAGCGGGGAUGACGUCAAAUCAGCACGGCCCUUACGUCCAGGGCUACACACGUGCUACAAUGGCCGAUACAGAGGGCAGCUACCUGGUGACAGGAUGCAAAUCUCCAAAGUCGGUCUCAGUUCGGAUCGGAGUCUGCAACCCGACUCCGUGAAGUUGGAUUCGCUAGUAAUCGCGCAUCAGCCAUGGCGCGGUGAAUACGUUCCCGGGCCUU